CAGGUGCCCACUCGUGAUGAAAAAAUACCUGAGGUCUUCCUCAAACAUUAAAGCUGGAAAGUCGCCAUAUGACCUAUCAUGUGUCGGUGCGACGUUAAAUCCAAAAAUAGGGCCAAACACGGCAUAGUGAUGGUUUCAGCAGAUACAUCAAAGGCAUAAAACUUCUGUUCAGCUGUCCGACGUACUUUCUUGAAAGGUCCAGACUCAAUGUUGAGACAAAAGCUGAUAAAGACAUAUAUUUAUAGAGAAAAAGAUGUAACCAGGUUGGAUUAUUUACAUAAUCAAGUACUAGUUAUCUCCCUUGGACCAUCAUUGGCAAUUCUCCCGCCUUAUAUUGUUGUUGUAAGCGUCACGUGAGAUCAGUCCCUAGUCAGCUGUAGAGAAGGACGGACAUGUUGAAUUGGUUCCUCUGUUUGAUUAAUUAUCGCUGUAAUGGUCAUUGUUACAGCAUAACAGCACCUUCACGAGUGUGUGUGUUGGACAGUGUACGUAGCAGCUGAAGAGACGGUGUGUGUGUUGAUUCGAUCCACAAUCGGGUCACAACAUUGUCGAUACUUACGAUACUUGUAUUAACAUUUCGGUGUACCCUGCAACCUUAUGCUAUAAACUGUGAAGUAAAUAUGAAUAAAAUGAUGAACUGUACCAGUGUUGUGGUUCAAACAUAUUAGCUGUAAUUACAGUUAGAAGUAGAAGAACCCAAAGGGUAACAAAGAUAUAACAGGAUGCAGAAGGGUAUUAUAUAACGUAGCGUAUGACCGUUGGCUGUACAAAAUGUCUGACUGU